rnacentral:lncRNA from 1 species
CUCCUGCCUCAGCCUCCGGAGUAGCUGGGACUACAGGCGCCCGCCACCACGCCUGGCCAAUUUUUUUGUAUUUUUUUAGUAGAGACGGGGUUUCACCGUGUUAGCCAGGAUAGUCUUGAUCUUCUGACCUCGUGAGCCGCCUGUCUCAGCCUCCCAAAGGGCUGGGAUUACAGGCGUGAGCCACCGCGCCCGGCCGAUUUACCACUCUUGAUGUUCACCACCUGGCUGAGUCUGGAAUCAUUUCUUCAUAAUGACAUUUUCUCCUUUUAUUGGAGAAUGUUAGAAACCAAGAUCAAGAGCUUGAUGUGCUUGUUGAUACUGGAGUGUCAUUGAUUCUUGGCCCUGUCAACUGACCAGAUCAAGGAACUACAUGUGUAUAAGCUAAGGCCUGCCUCUCCCACACAAUUUUUUGAUGACCUUCACUUGGAAUGGCCAGAACCAGCUAAUGCAAACCCUGCUGAACCUACAGUAGAAGUUGCUCCUCUCCUCCCCGGCCUCAGUCUCCACCCACUCACAAAAGAAGGCUUUCCAGUCUCCAUUCUAGGACUUAGCCUUAUAACACAUAUUACAAGUAAAGUUCCCACUUGCCUCCAGCAGAAAAGUCACAUCAUGUAUCACAUCUUCUUGCACAUGACAGGAUUUUUGUCGUGACUUUCCUAAAUUCUCACUGUGCCAAGCAAGCAAGAAAGUGCCCACAGGAGUGGGAGGGAAAAGACACAUGGGAUGGCAGCAAGGAAACCUGCCUAGAGGAGCCAGCCAUCCCGUCUGUCCCCUCACUUCCUUCCAGAGAGAACGUCUUUCCUUGACAGCGCCUGCCUCCUGUCAUUUCAUCCCAACACUUUGCCCAGCCCGGGAAAUCUGGAUUUUCUUUUUAAAGAAAGAUGUCUAGAGAGAAAAAUAGAAAAUGAACAGCCAAUAGAAAGUGCAACAGAGCUUGUUGAUUUGGUUCUGUCAGAUGCCCCAAGUGUUCGUGGUAAGCUGGAAAACUCUCCAUCCACUAGAGGCAGCCACAGCUCGGGAUGCUGAUAAAGUUCUGACACAGGGAGUGAGUGAUGAGUGGUGUGUAAAAGUUCUGACACAGGGAGUGAGUGAUGAGUGGUGUGUAACGUGCUGAAAACAGGAAGCUCUGACAACAAUGUGAAGAGGAACCUUCUGAACACAAAUUCUAUGGCUCCAAAUAAGCAAGUUAAUAGUCCUGAUAUCUUGACUUGAUCUACAGAAGAAACCCCACUCAGGAUAACUUUUACUUUUCUGGUGGAAGAGACAAUAAGAAUAAAGACUCACUAAACGGUAAUAAAAUCCUCUUUGACUUACUAAUUGGUUGGUAAUUUUGAAAUUUUCUAAUCUGAAUGUUUAACUCCAAAUAGUUUUCAUCCUGUCAUAUGUUACAGUAUUAACAGUUAUAGAAAAAGAACAGGAAUUAUUAGAAACAUUAAAACUAUUCAAAUCUAGGAAAUGUGGAUCUUAGGAUUUGUGUCAGGAAACCAACAACCUUAGGAUGUGCCCCACAGUUGGCUUUCCUGAACCGUGAUCCCAGAAUGCAAGAAGUCAACCCAAUACAAAUCCAUGCUUUCUGACAAUGGCAGAAAAUUUUUUGGCCAUUGUCCAUUGACUGACUCACAAGCUGUGACAAUGUCCCACCAUUACACUCCACCGACUCCCCCGCAAGGCUGUCACCUGUCUUUACCUGCAGCAGCUGCAUAUAUGCACACAUUUAAUAACACUUAGUGGGGGCAUGUUCUGUUCUAGAAACGGUGCCUGCUCCAAAGAUACGGUGGUGAACAAAAUAAAAAUGCUCCCUGUCUCUAUGGAACUCAGAGUCUAGCAGAAGACAAAGACACAAUGUGAAAUACACAUUUCAAUAAGUGCUAUGAAAGAUAGGUUGUACAGUGAUAUGAAAGGGAAUAACAAAGGGAUGCAAAAGAGUUAUGAAAGGCCUCUCUGAGGAAGUCAUGUUUAAGCUGAAAGGUGAAGGUUGCCUAUAAGAAGGUCAGGCAAAAGACAGGGUGUGUGAGUGGGGAAACAUUCUAGGCAGAGGUAACAGCAUAUGCAAGACCCCAUGGAAGAUUAGAAAAAGGAAACAGCACCAAGAUAUGACCUAUUUUCCUUAGAUGACUGAGGGAAUUCAAAUUCAAUGAAUACCUUCUUUAUCUUAAAAGCUAAAGCCUUUACAUUUAUUAUAAAUAGGGAUUUCUAUAAAUCCUGUCAACUCCCACUUAUCCUGUAUUCUCAAUCCUGUAUUUAUUCACCAACAUCUUUGAGCUGUUUUCUCUGGCCUUAUCCUUAUUCUUUCUAAGGUAUAUCUAUCUUUUUUAGCAACCCCGAUAAUUAGAUAGGAUAAUCUGUUGAGAUAUUAAUUUGUGAUUUGUAUUUCUGAUUUGUGCUAUAGAAGACUUGAAGGAUUAGAAGGGACUUUCCUCCUACUUCCUUCACUGGAAAGACAACCAGGCCUUUAUCUUCUAAGAUCUUUUUUCUAUUUUCAAGCAAUUAACAGUUUAUUUUUGUAUCAGAACAUCCUGUCCCAUCCCUCAAGAUCUGUUGCGCAAAAUGUAGGCCCAUCGGGAGGAAGAAAGUUGAGGAGAGGGGUGAUUUGCCUUGCUGGCAACUUAUUGACAUGUCUUUGCCAUGCUCCUACUCAGGAAAUUAGAUCCCAUGACCUAUAAAAUUCAGUCAAAACUGCAGCUAAACUCACACCCUCUGCUAUAUUGGACCUGAAGUCUCUGCAGCCAUUCUCCUCUAUUGCCACAUUCAUCCCCCGUACCAAGUCGUACCCCAUCAAUUCUGCCUGUCCCAUAAUUCAUCUCAAGCUUAUUUUCUUCUAUGCUGUUUCCCUUUCCCACUUUUUAAUUUCACCCUUAUUUUAAUCUCUCAUUUUCCUGUUGUUUCAUAGUGAAACCACUUUGCAAAAUUAUAACUGAGGAAACUAUGACAGUGAAAGACAUCAGACCUAACUGAUUCCAUCUUGCUUCUAACGUUUAAGCUGUCCUUGUUCUUUCCUGGGCAUAGGCCAAACUAACUUUGGGAAGGAAUUCAGUUCAUGGUUUGACUCUGAAACAAAUUGGAACCAGCCCUUUCCUGAAAAACCCCGUUUCUUCCUUGGAGACCAGUCUGCCUUUGCAGGACUAACAACUUAGCUACAACAUUAGAAAUCACAGUUUAGGGGUCAUGCAGUCUCUGGUUCCAAGAGUUUGAACCUCCCGAAAUUGCUCCUGGGGAUAAUAUCGGUAUUGUGAAACCUAAGAUCAGUGCUUAAGACCCUGCACUGGAUGGAUCAGCUGACACCACCCAGAGUGGUAAUCUGGCUCAACCAGUUCUGCCAUCCCUCCCAAGAACAGAAAACAGCAAAAAACAAACAAACAAACAAACAAACAAAAAAAACUCACUUCGACUCCCACUGCCCCCCAUGAUUCCAUCUCCAACCUGACCAAUCAGCACUCCCCACUUCCCAAGCCCCUACCUGCCAAAUUAUCUUUAAAAACACUUAUCAUCAAAUGGCUCAGGGAGAAUGAUUUGAGUAAUAAUAAAACUCUGGUCUCCCGCACAGCUGGCUCUUCCUGAUUUACUCUUUCUCCAUUGCAAUUCCCCUGUCUUGAUAAAUCGGCUCUGUCUAGGCUGCGGGCAAGGUGAACCCAUUGG